rnacentral:rRNA from 1 species
UACGUAGGGUGCGAGCGUUGUCCGGAAUUAUUGGGCGUAAAGAGCUUGUAGGCGGUUUGUCGCGUCUGCCGUGAAAAUCCGAGGCUCAACCUCGGACUUGCGGUGGGUACGGGCAGACUAGAGUGUGGUAGGGGAGACUGGAAUUCCUGGUGUAGCGGUGAAAUGCGCAGAUAUCAGGAGGAACACCGAUGGCGAAGGCAGGUCUCCGGGCAUUAACUGACGCUGAGGAGCGAAAGCAUGGGGAGCGAACAGG